rnacentral:rRNA from 1 species
UACAGAGGUCUCAAGCGUUGUUCGGAUUCAUUGGGCGUAAAGGGUGCGUAGGCGGCGCGGUAAGUCGGGUGUGAAAUCUCGGAGCUUAACUCCGAAACUGCAUUCGAUACUGCCGUGCUUGAGGACUGGAGAGGAGACUGGAAUUUACGGUGUAGCGGUGAAAUGCGUAGAUAUCGUAAGGAAGACCAGUGGCGAAGGCGGCGAUCUGGACGAUGACUGACGCUGAGACGCGAAAGCGUGGGGAGCAAACAGG